GAAUUUUAGGGUGCUCUCUCCAUCUGACUCCUUUAACUGGGUUGAUGUGAGAGAGGCCUGACCUCCACUUUCUACCCUGUGCAUCAUUUCUAAAAGGUCUCUCUGUCCUGCUUGCCUCACGGCAGCUUGAUGUUGAGCCUUUUUCAAUUUAUAAACACCAAAGUCAAAGAAUGCAUUUAAAUCAUAACAAAAAAAAACUUUCAACAACGGAUCUCUUGGCUCU
rnacentral:misc_RNA from 1 species